GGAAUAUUGGGCAAUGGGCGCAAGCCUGACCCAGCAACGCCGCGUGAAGGAAGAAGGCUUUCGGGUUGUAAACUUCUUUUCUCAGGGACGAAGAAAGUGACGGUACCUGAGGAAUAAGCCACGGCUAACUACGUGCCAGCAGCCGCGGUAAUACGUAGGUGGCAAGCGUUAUCCGGAAUUACUGGGUGAAAAGGGAGCGCAGGCGGGACUGCAAGUUGGAUGUGAAAUGCCGCAGCUUAACUGCGGGGCUGCAUCCAAAACUGUAGUUCUUGAGUGGAGUAGAGGCAAGCGGAAUUCCGAGUGUAGCGGUGAAAUGCGUAGAUAUUCGGAGGAACACCAGUGGCGAAGGCGGCUUGCUGGGCUCUAACUGACGCUGAGGCUCGAAAGUGUGGGGAGCAAACAG
rnacentral:rRNA from 1 species